rnacentral:rRNA from 1 species
UCCUACGGGAGGCAGCAGUAGGGAAUCUUCCGCAAUGGACGAAAGUCUGACGGAGCAACGCCGCGUGAGUGAUGAAGGUUUUCGGAUCGUAAAGCUCUGUUGUUAGGGAAGAACAAGUGCGAGAGUAACUGCUCGCACCUUGACGGUACCUAACCAGAAAGCCACGGCUAACUACGUGCCAGCAGCCGCGGUAAUACGUAGGUGGCAAGCGUUGUCCGGAAUUAUUGGGCGUAAAGGGCUCGCAGGCGGUUUCUUAAGUCUGAUGUGAAAGCCCCCGGCUCAACCGUGGAGGGUCAUUGGAAACUGGGAGACUUGAGUGCAGAAGAGGAAAGUGGAAUUCCAUGUGUAGCGGUGAAAUGCGUAGAGAUAUGGAGGAACACCAGUGGCGAAGGCGACUUUCUGGUCUGUAACUGACACUGAGGCGCGAAAGCGUGGGGAGCAAACAGGAUUAGAUACCCUGGUAGUCCACGCCGUAAACGAUGAGUGCUAAGUGUUAGAGGGUUUCCGCCCCUUAGUGCUGAAGUUAACGCAUUAAGCACUCCGCCUGGGGAGUACGGCCGCAAGGCUGAAACUCAAAUGAAUUGACGGA